AUAUCUCUCUGUACGGGAAGGAUGAGAAGCUUCGACUAAGGUUCGAUUCGAGCGUCAGCGAGAAAGCGUUGCCGCAGGCAACGACCCGAAGGGCGAAGCGCGCAGCGCUGAGUCAUCCUUCC
rnacentral:sRNA from 1 species